GGUUUGCAAGGUUUUUCUUCCUGGUUCACAAUUCAUAAAACCUACUUAUGAGUAAAAGAAAUUAAAAAAAAAAUGAGAUUGGCAUACCUACAAAGGUCAAAUUUGAAAAAACUGAGUAUAACACUCAAUCUGAGAUGUCAGAAAUUUAGGCUUAAUUAUUGAUAUUUUCUAGCAAUACCGGUUCAUUAACUAGAAUCAUCAUUAUGUUUUCCUUGUUGUGUUCUAAUUCUUUGUAGUUAUUUGGUUUGGUGAACACACUUCUAAUUACAUAGCCUUUGACAUAAAACAGAACACAACUAAUAAACUUAAACAAGUACGCUUGUUUUGGCUGCAUAAGCCAUACUCCAGGAAAAACAGGAGAGAACAAUGUGAUUGCUACUUGUCCCACUGUCACUUGGUAGUUUUUUGAUAUAAAUGUAUUUGAUUAUGAUGGUCCAUUAGUGAGUAGCUGCUUCAUGACGAUCCUAUUUUAUCGGUUGGUAGGUCAUUAGGUUUGUCAUCUUUCGUUUGAUUUGUUUUUCUCUAAACUAUUUGUUUCUUCGGUCUGUAUAUGUUCUCAUGUAGUUUAUUUGAAUAAUUCUUUUGAUUGGUGUUAAAGGUGUAGUGUUAAACUUGUGAUUUGAUAUGGAGAUUGAGCGGUGUGUUCUUCACCUCCAGGCGGUGUAUAUGUUCUCAUGUACUGCUUUGAUGUUAUGACAAUUCGAUGCGGUUAGAUUGGAUCAAAAAUCCAGACUACGAACAAAAUGGAUUUGCAUCAUUGCUAGAGUUAGUUUUGGGUGACAGAACUUUGACUGAGUCUGUAUCUUAACAUUGUGAAUCUAUAAACAACUACAUAGAACAGAUACUAGUUAUCCCAGUCAGACCUUGCCAUGUGGACUAAAGCAACAAUCUUACAUGUCAUCUGCAAGGUAUUUACUUUCCCUAUAUUUGCCUUUAUGUUUAGUUGAUAAUUUUAUUCCAGUUGACUCUGUUCUGAUGCAUCAAUUUCUUAACUUUUUUGAAAUAAGGUUUUGACUUCUUGGAUGAUAGAAGUUGAGAUUGUGAAAAUUUCA